AACGAACGCUGGCGGCAUGCCUAACACAUGCAAGUCGAACGAGACCUUCGGGUCUUGUGGCGCACGGGUGCGUAACGCGUGGGAACCUGCCCUUAGGUUCGGAAUAACUCCCCGAAAGGGGUGCUAAUACCGGAUAAUGUCUUCGGACCAAAGAUUUAUCGCCUUUGGAUGGGCCCGCGUUGGAUUAGCUAGUUGGUAGGGUAAAAGCCUACCAAGGCGACGAUCCAUAGCUGGUCUGAGAGGAUGAUCAGCCACACUGGGACUGAGACACGGCCCAGACUCCUACGGGAGGCAGCAGUGGGGAAUAUUGGACAAUGGGCGAAAGCCUGAUCCAGCAAUGCCGCGUGAGUGAUGAAGGCCUUAGGGUUGUAAAGCUCUUUUACCCGGGAUGAUAAUGGCAGUACCGGGAGAAUAGGCUCCGGCUAACUCCGUG
rnacentral:rRNA from 1 species